rnacentral:lncRNA from 1 species
GAGAGAGCCAAGAAAAGCUUAUUAGAAAACAAACUUUAGUGAAUCCAGUGAGUAUACAACAAAGACCUCCAGAAGAUGAUUAUCCACAGGGUUAUCAGAAAUUCGAAUAGCAACCCCUGGAUGUGUUAGAAAUGAGGAAAUUUAAGGAAAGUGUCACUAAUUUUGGAAUGCAUUCACCAUUGUAAAACAAAUCCUGAAUUCUUGAGCUACUAAAAAUAGGGUAAUCACCUAAGACUGUAAAGAUAAGGCAAAGCAAUACUAGGACCUGAACCACAUUUAUAAUGGUUCUCAUGGUGGAGAGGAAGAGACGGAGUUAACAUAACAAAACAGAUCCAUGGGUAGAUCAGCUAUUUCGUGAAGUUUGCUUUGCUGAGAUAGAGGUUCAGGCUAUAUAUAGUGAAGAAACUCUGGCAUUGUGUUGAUUGUUAGUCUUAAAGACCUAGAACAAAGUCACAAAAUCAGGGAAAUGUCUUCAACUGAACCAUGUACUCAAAUCAUGCCAGGGCCAAAGGAAACCUUCCCUGACUUUUUGCAAAGGCUAACCUCAGCUGUAGAAAUGGAUGUGUCAGAUUCAGCAGCAAGAAAGGAAAUAAUUGAGUCUUUAGCCUUUGAAAAUGCAAAUGCUAAGUGCAAGGAAGUAUUCAGACCACUGAAGAUGUUGUCAGCAUUAAUAGAUGAGUGGGUUAGACAUAUACCUUAUGUUAGAGCUUACUUGCCUGAUAUGGCAGUAAAAGGAGAAGAUGCCAUUAGUAACCUAGACACCACACAAGAUAUCAAAUGUUUUAAUUGUGGUGAGCAGGGUCAUCUCAGAAAUAACUGCAGAAAAAAUCAAAGUAAUCCUCAAAGUGUGACUUUGCCUUUUGGAAUAUGUCAGAGAUGUGGCACAAGCUGACAUUUGGCUAGGGAUUAUAAAGCAACAACAAAUGGGACAAUACUCUGCCAAAAAAAUCCCAGGAGGGUUCUUGUAGGCCCCAAUGUCAGGCAGGUAGAGUCCUCUUCUUAAAGAGAGUUAAAUGUAACUGCUUCAAAAACAGAUGCUUUGUAACCAGAUAAUGAGGCUGACGUAAGACAAGUC